AUUGAACGCUGGCGGCAGGCCUAACCCAUGCAAGUCGAACGAGUGGCGGACGGGUGAGUAAUGUCUGGGAAACUGCCCGAUGGAGGGGGAUAACUACUGGAAACGGUAGCUAAUACCGCAUACCAUCGGAUGUGCCCAGAUGGGAUUAGCUAGUAGGUGGGGUAACGGCUCACCUAGGCGACGAUCCCUAGCUGGUCUGAGAGGAUGACCAGCCACGCUUGAACUGAGACACGGUCCGAACUCCUGAGGGUGGCAGAAGUGGGGAAGAUGGCACAAUGGGCGCAAGACGGAUGCAGCCAUGCCGCAUGUAUGAAGAAGGCCUUCGGGUUGGAAAGUACUUUCAUCGAGGAGGCGUUACUCGCAGAAGAAGCAUCGGCUAACUCCGUGCGAGCAGCCGCGGUAAUAC
rnacentral:rRNA from 1 species